GAGGGUAUAGCUCAGUGGUAGAGUGUGUGCUUAGCAUGCAUAAGGUCCUGGGUUCACUCCCCAGUACCUCCA
rnacentral:tRNA from 1 species